rnacentral:rRNA from 1 species
CCUACGGGAGGCAGCAGUGGGGAAUAUUGCACAAUGGGGGAAACCCUGAUGCAGCGACGCCGCGUGAGUGAAGAAGGAUCUCGGUAUGUAAAGCUUCAUUAGUAGGGAAGAAAAUGACGGUACCUGAUUAAGAAGCCCCGGCCAAAUACGAGCCAGCAGCCGCGGUAAUACGGAGGGGGCAAGCGUUAUCCGGAUUUACUGGGUGUAAAGGGAGCGUAGAUGGCAGCAUAAGUCAGGAGUGAAAUGGCGGGGCUUAACCCCGAAACUGCAUUUGAAACUGGGCAGCUAGAGUGCAGGAGAGGUAAGUGGAAUUCCUGGUGUAGCGGUGAAAUGCGUAGAUAUUAGGAAGAACACCGAUGGCGAAGGCAGCUUACUGGACUGUAACUGACAUUGAGGCUCGAAAGCGUGGGGAGCAAACAGGAUUAGAUACCCCAGUAGUC